rnacentral:rRNA from 1 species
UACGGAGGGUGCAAGCGUUGUCCGGAUUUAUUGGGUUUAAAGGGUGCGUAGGCGGCCGAUUAAGUCUGGGGUGAAAGCCCGUUGCUCAACAACGGAACUGCCCUGGAAACUGGUCGGCUUGAGUACAGACGAGGGUGGCGGAAUGGAUGCUGUAGCGGUGAAAUGCAUAGAUAGCAUCCAGAACCCCCGAUUGCGAAGGCAGACUGCC